rnacentral:rRNA from 1 species
CGCAAGCCUGACGGAGCAAGACCGCGUGGGGGAGGAAGGCUCUUGGGUUGUAAACCCCUUUUCUCAGGGAAGAACCAAAUGACGGUACCUGAGGAAUCAGCCUCGGCUAACUCCGUGCCAGCAGCCGCGGUAAUACGGAGGAGGCAAGCGUUAUCCGGAAUGAUUGGGCGUAAAGCGUUCGUAGGUGGCUAUUCAAGUCUGCUGUCAAAGACAGAAGCUCAACUUCUGAAAGGCAGUGGAAACUGAGUAGCUGGAGUGCGGUAGGGGCAGAGGGAAUUCCCGGUGUAGCGGUGAAAUGCGUAGAGAUCGGGAAGAACACCGGCGGCGAAAGCGCUCUGCUGGGCCGCAACUGACACUGAGGGACGAAAGCUAGGGGAGCG